rnacentral:rRNA from 1 species
GACGUAGGGCGCGAGCGUUGUCCGGAUUUAUUGGGCGUAAAGAGCUCGUAGGCGGCUUGUCGCGUCGACUGUGAAAACCUGGGGCUCAACUCUGGGCGUGCGGUCGAUACGGGCAUCACUGGAGUUCGGCAGGGGAGACUGGAAUUCCUGGUGUAGCGGUGAAAUGCGCAGAUAUCAGGAGGAACACCGGUGGCGAAGGCGGGUCUCUGGGCCGAUACUGACGCUGAGGAGCGAAAGCAUGGGUAGCGAACAGG